rnacentral:rRNA from 1 species
CUGACUGCUAUCGGAUUGAUACUAAGCCAUGCGAGUCAUUGUAGCAAUACAAGGCAGACGGCUCAGUAACGCGUAGUCAAUCUACCCUAUGGACGGGAAUAAUCUCGGGAAACUGAGAAUAAUGCCCGAUAGAACAUUAUGCCUGGAAUGGUUUAUGUUUCAAAUGAUUUAUCGCCAUAGGAUGGGACUGCGGCCUAUCAGUUUGUUGGUGAGGUAAUGGCCCACCAAGACUAUUACAGGUACGGGCUCUGAGAGGAGUAGCCCGGAGAUGGGUACUGAGACACGGACCCAGGCCCUAUGGGGCGCAGCAGGCGAGAAAACUUUGCAAUGUGCGAAAGCACGACAAGGUUAAUCCGAGUGGUUUCUGCUAAAGAAACCUUUUGUCAGUCCUAGAAACACUAACGAAUAAGGGGUGGGCAAGUUCUGGUGUCAGCCGCCGCGGUAAAACCAGCACCUCAAGUGGUCAGGAUGAUUAUUGGGCCUAAAGCAUCCGUAGCUCGUUUUGUAAGUUUUCGGUUAAAUCCAUGCGCUUAACGUAUGGGCUGCCGGGAAUACUGCAUAACUAGGAAGUGGGAGAGGUAGACGGUACUCGGUAGGAAGGGGUAAAAUCCUUUGAUCUAUUGAUGACCACCUGUGGCGAAGGCGGUCUACCAGAACACGUUCGACGGUGAGGGAUGAAAGCUGGGGGAGCAAACCGGAUUAGAUACCCGGGUAGUCCCAGCUGUAAACUAUGCAAACUCAGUGAUGCAUUGGCUUGUGGCCAAUGCAGUGCUGCAGGGAAGCCGUUAAGUUUGCCGCCUGGGAAGUACGUACGCAAGUAUGAAACUUAAAGGAAUUGGCGGGGGAGCACCACAAGGGGUGAAGCCUGCGGUUCAAUUGGAUUCAACGCCGGAAA